GAUGAAGAACGUAGCGAAAUGCGAUAAGAAGUGUGAAUUGCAGAAUUCAGUGAAUCAUCGAAUCUUUGAACGCACAUUGCGGCCAUAGGUAUUCCUUUGGCCAUGCCUGUUCGAGCGUCAUUUACACCCUCAAGCCUAGCUUGGUGUUGGGCGCCUGUCCCGCCGUUUUCGCGCGCGGACUCGCCUCAAAGUCAUUGGCGGCGGUCGUGCCGGCCCCCUCGCGCAGCACAUUUGCGCUUCUCGGAGGCCCGGCGGAUCCGCGCUCCAGCAAGACCUUUCACGACUUGACCUCGGAUCAGGUAGGGAUACCCGCUGAACUUAAGCAUAUCAAUAAGCGGAGGA
rnacentral:misc_RNA from 1 species